GUACACUCCUGCGGGAGGCAGCAGUGGUGAAUAUUGGACAAUGGGCGCAAGCCUGAUCCAGCCAUGCCGCGUGAGUGAUGAAGGCCCUAGGGUUGUAAAGCUCUUUCACCGGUGAAGAUAAUGACGGUAACCGGAGAAGAAGCCCCGGCUAACUUCGUGCCAGCAGCCGCGGUAAUACGAAGGGGGCUAGCGUUGUUCGGAUUUACUGGGCGUAAAGCGCACGUAGGCGGACUAUUAAGUCAGGGGUGAAAUCCCGGGGCUCAACCCCGGAACUGCCUUUGAUACUGGUAGUCUUGAGUUCGAGAGAGGUGAGUGGAAUUCCGAGUGUAGAGGUGAAAUUCGUAGAUAUUCGGAGGAACACCAGUGGCGAAGGCGGCUCACUGGCUCGAUACUGACGCUGAGGUGCGAAAGCGUGGGGAGCAAACAGGAUUAGAAACCCGAGUAGUCCC
rnacentral:rRNA from 1 species